rnacentral:lncRNA from 1 species
UUUUGAAAUAAAAUUACUAUUAUAACUUAAAUUGAAGGAACACAUGUUAUUAAACUUCUGAUAUCCUUUAUGAUGUAACAAUAACACACAAUCAAUUGCAGCAUGAUUGUCAAGUAUGGCUUGACAAUGUUGUUUUUGUUCUUCAUUAAGCCUAUUUACAUCCAUGGAGGCAUGAUUAAUACUGUUUAUGAUAGCAUAGGCGAGUUUCAUAGUAGUUUGCACAACUACUGAAUCAUUACAGAUUUUAUCAAGAGGAAUAGACCUUUUAUGAAUAAAUUCCACAGGAUGGUGACCUAUUAAAUACUAUGUGGAUGGUAAGGACACAUUAUUCUGCUAAGACAACAAUGAAUACCAUGAGACAUUUUUACAGGUAUAUGACAGUUUCAUACAAGUGAGUCAAGAUAUUGUAAUGGGUUCUAGAAGUCCAGGAUCUGACAGUACUGAAUUUCCCACAGCUGGUGUACACAAAACAGAGCAACAUUGUUAUUAAGACUGAAGCAUUUACAGAGUUUUGUGUGAGUUUAGCAAACAAAAUUAUCUAGAGUACAUUCUAACCCCAUUUUAGCCAACACCUGUUGAGCUGAGGCUGUUAAUGGUUUUAUACCCCCCAAGUAACUAGAAUUCAAGUAUCUUGGGGUCCUCUUUUAAUGUAUCUCCUCUUUUGAGGAGAAUGAUUAUUCUCUUGUUUGGAUGGACUCUUCUCAUCCAGGGUUAAAUGAAACUUGGAAAUCAGCUUGUGAAGUCCCUGAUGUUCAUUUAUAAUUGCUAUUUUUCAUACAUGAAGCUAGAGUCCAAACAGGACAUGUUGGCAUCAGUGUAGCACUCUAUGCUUUUCCUCAUGUGAUCAAAGGCAUAGGAUCUUGUCAUGCUGGUGAGGUGGAACCUCAGAUAUUACAUAAUUAUUUUUGGUAAUGGCUGUUUGAGAAUAAAAUGUCUCUAUUCAAUGCAGAUGACCAAUUUUGAGUAUUUACUUUAUGUUGUAUAUUGAGCACAUUAACUGUAAAUAAAACAAUAUUUAAUGCAUAUUAAUAUAAGAGAGGAUAGAUCUUUGUUUGUUUCUGUUUUAAAAGGCAAGUAUUAGGAUACAAUUUGCUCACUCAACCAAAG